GACGUAGGGGGCCAGCGUUGUUCGGAAUUACUGGGCGUAAAGGGCUCGUAGGCGGCCAACUAAGUCGGAUGUGAAAUCCCCAGGCUCAACCUGGGAACUGCAUCCGAUACUGGAUGGCUUGAAUUCGGGAGAGGGAUGCAGAAUUCCAGGUGUAGCGGUGAAAUGCGUAGAUAUCUGGAGGAAUACCGGUGGCGAAGGUGGCAUCCUGGACCGACAUUGACGCUGAGGAGCGAAAGCCAGGGGGAGCAAACGGG
rnacentral:rRNA from 1 species